GGAAGUGUUCGUGCGCCACCAUGCCGCCCCGAUUCACCAGAUCUCGUCAUCCUCCUCUUCCAGAUCCUCCAUAGUCCCGUCCAUGGUCAUCUGCCCCUCUGCGUCCUACAACCGCCUCGAGGAUAGGAUUUACCCUGGAGGCAGGGGAACCUUGCGCACGCGACGCCUGUGUCGUUGUUGCUGGUCGGACGGUGGUCAGAUCCGCCAUGGCCACAACCGGCGUCCUCUCCCUCCUUAUCCAGCUUCCUCCCAUGACUGAGAAGAGGGCUUCAUCAAGGAUCCCACGACGAAGGUAGCUUCCUCCCAUCCCAGAUCGACCAUCCGUCAAUGGAGGCCAUGAUAACAGCGUGGGCACACACAUGGCUGCGCUUCAAGGUCAUCCCUCACCCUUCUUUUCUCUUUGAUUUGAUUUGAUCUCAUUCCCUAAUUUUCCUCCCAGCGUAGCUGCAGCUCGGUAGAUGCAGGCACGUCACCAUGGGGCAAGUCAAGGUCUUCCUUCUCCUCCCAUUUCAUCCGAUCCGCCAGAGCCAGCAAUCCCCGGCGCCCUGCACCACAGCGAUGGUAAGACCAUGACCCCGUCCUUCGUCCUUGCAACAUUUUAUUCCCCCGUUCCUAGGUAGCAAAUGGGUAAAUUAGUAUGCCAUUAGUUCUGUUUUAACUAUUUCUCACAUUAUCAGGCUAGUGAAAAACUAGCUUACCCCUUGGCUAUUUAUGCAUACAUAUUUGGCAACGAAUCAGCACUUGAACCCCAGCGCGCGUUGUCUGCCCAUAAUACAGCUAACUGUCGUAUCACCAGUUGCUUGGACAUUGCUCUCAAGCGAUUCUUCUCGAUGUCUUGCGCCGACGUUCGCCUCGGUGCCGUGCGCCGCCCGUUGGACGUCUUGCACUACUAAUUGCAUGCACGUAGUGUGCCGUGGAUUGUCCGCUAUUGAAAUAUUUUUAUUCACUGGGCUUCUUAUGUGAUUCCGGAACUCGCAAGAACUUUUAUCCAGUAUGAUUUGCAUGUGACAUAUAAACUCACAAGUACUUUUAUUCAGUGUGCUUAUGUCAGAUGUGAACUCACACUUUCAAUUAGCUAGGAACCCAAAAUUAUUCAGUGAGGCAUUAUUUGGUGAUGUACUCGUUGCAUUCACAUGGAUUUAAAUUUUGGAGUCGCUUCCCAGUUCAUCAAACUGCAUGUGUAGUUCAGCUUCACCAACACUCUCAUAGAUGGAUGGUCCAGGCCCGAUUUUUUUGUUUCAGCUGUAACAAAUUCAUUAACGGAGCUAAAUUUCAACUCUUUUUUCCAUGGUUUUGGGUUGGUCCUUCUUAGGAAAAAUUGAUCCAUUGGCUUGGUCCAAUUUAUAUAGAGCUUUCCAUGCCUAAGAAUGAGAAAAUCUUGCUGCCAAUCUGAUGCCACAAUUAGCAUCUUUUUUAUGGUUAUAUUAUGUGUGUGACUGAACAUUGAACCUUUGACCUUUGCUUUUGUAAAACCUGACUUUCUUCUGUUGUGAAUGGAGUGUUUCCUUGCUGUGCUGCAUAAGUAGUUCAUUCAUCGCUCAUUUGACAUGUGCAGGCAAUGUGUACAUGCUGCAUUUAGAUUCCAGCCCAACUAGAUUUUAGUUGAAGCGUUUUAGACCAAGCCAUCUUGGUUUGCUGCAUUUUUGCCUUAUUAGCUUUUUAUUCUUCUUUAGGUUUUGAAGAGGGUUUGUGUAGGACAACCAUGAAGAAAAGUACAAACAUGCUACCUGCGCAAGAGG
rnacentral:lncRNA from 1 species